rnacentral:rRNA from 1 species
AGCAGCCGCGGUAAUUCCAGCUCCAAUAGCGUAUAUUAAAGUUGCUGCAGUUAAAAAGCUCGUAGUUGAAUUUCGGGACCAUCAUGUCGGUCGUGCCUCGGUACGUACUGGCAUUGUUGGUUUCUCCCUUCUGACGAACCAUGAUGUCAUUUAUUUGGUGUNGUGGGGAAUCAGGACUGUUACUUUGAAAAAAUUAGAGUGUUUAAAGCAGGCUCACGCUUGAAUACAUUAGCAUGGAAUAAUGAAAUAGGACGUUUGAUUCUAUUUUGUUGGUUUCUAGGAUCGACGUAAUGAUUAAUAGGGAUAGUUGGGGGCAUUAGUAUUCAAUUGUCAGAGGUGAAAUUCUUGGAUUUAUUGAAGACUAACUACUGCGAAAGCAUUUGCCAAGGAUGUUUUCAUUAAUCAAGAACGAAAGUUAGGGGAUCGAAGACGAUCAGAUACCGUCGUAGUCUUAACCAUAAACUAUGCCGACUAGGGAUCGGAUGAUGUUAAUUUU